AGUGUCCUGGGGCUUCUGGGAGCAGCCUUCCCAGCACCCCUCCAACGCCUGCCGGCCCACACUCCUUCCCUUCCCCAGGCCCCCAAGACUCCCAUCUCCUGGCCUCAGUGUCCCCCGCGGUUCACUGAAGACAAUCAAGACUUUCUCCGCAGAUGGGCCAGGUAGCCCCAAGGGCACGGGGCACAGUUCCCGGCGUGCCAGCCCCCCCCCCGCCCCCCGGGCAUCCUGACACCAUCUAGAGUUUGCCCCAAGCUUUUCUGAGAGGCUGGACUUGCCCAAGGCACUGGGCCCUGGGAGCCAAGGCAGGCAAGGCCUGGCUUCCCCGAACACCUUCUAAGAGGAGCGUCUAUUGUGAAAUCCCAGCUGCUGCCUGGAAUGGGAAUGCCCCUCACCCACCGGUGGAGUCGUGUGGAAACAUUCAACAGCCGGGCUUGCCCCCAUCUCCAAGUUCCUCUUCUGAGCCAGUAAGGAUACUGAGAUCUGCUGACGCCACCCUGGAAGGUGUCGCCUCCUGGGGACUAGAAUGACCACAGCCAACACACCAGGCACGCGCCUGCCUCAGGACCUUUGCACUUGCUGUUCCCUUUGCCUGGAGUUGCUCUUCUCCCAGAUGUCUUCUAGGUUCACUCCCUCGCCUCUUUCCAGUCUUUACGUUAUGUUCUCAAGGAGGGCUUCUGGCAAACCCUACCUCUGGCACACCCUGUUUUAUUUUUCCCACCCCUUACUACCAACGGACACACUGUACAUGUUACUUAUUAUUUAUCAUAUGUGCUGCCCAUCCUUUUCCUCCAGCCCCAUUAGAAUGUAAGCUCCACAAGGGCUUAGAAGAGUGCCUCGCACAUAUUUGCUGGAUGAAUGAGUGCAUAACGAAUGAAUGAGGGAACAAUAAAGAGAUUUCAAGGAUGACAAAAGAAGAAAAGAAGAGAGAUGGAUAUGGGACCACGCACACCUCGCCUGACUGAGGUAAGGAUGCUGCUUUUCUCAGAUGAAUCUUCAGGUUGAUCCGCAGCAAGGCUUCGGGAUGGUGGCAUGCCUGACCUGGACAGCAGCUGGAAGGUUUCCUUGGGUUAAAAUCAAGCCAUCUGAUAAACUGUGUUCCUCUAAACAUCUGAUGUCUUGGAAGCGUGAUUCCUGGGAUGUAUGGCAAAGACAGAAGGGAGGUCCCCGAAAGAGAAUGGACACAAAGGAGGAGUGAGCUUGUCGGGAAAGGAAGGCUUGAGAAAAGCACCAAGGACCCAAAAAGGGCCUGUAGAGUUAUU